rnacentral:rRNA from 1 species
CAGCACCUCAAGUGGUCAGGAUGAUUAUUGGGCCUAAAGCAUCCGUAGCCGGCCCUGUAAGUUUUCGGUUAAAUCUGUAUGCUCAACAUACAGGCUGCCGGGAAUACUGCAGAGCUAGGGAGUGGGAGAGGUAGACGGUACUCGGUAGGAAGGGGUAAAAUCCUUUGAUCUAUUGAUGACCACCUGUGGCGAAGGCGGUCUACCAGAACACGUCAGACGGUGAGGGAUGAAAGCUGGGGGAGCAAACCGGAUUAGAUACCCGAGUAGUCC